CGUUGUAGCUGCAGCCAAGCUCCUCAACAAAGCCGGCCAAAAAGUCAAGGUUCCAACCUUCCGCGUGCCGGCAACACAAAAGGUGUGGGUGGACUUGUACGCAAUGCCACUCCCCGAGGCAGACGGAAAAACGUG